rnacentral:rRNA from 1 species
AUGAACGCUAGCGGCAGGCCUAACACAUGCAAGUCGAGGGGCAGCACGGUGUAGCAAUACACUGGUGGCGACCGGCGCACGGGUGCGUAACGCGUAUGCAACCUACCCAUAACAGGGGGAUAACACUGAGAAAUUGGUACUAAUACCCCAUAACAUCAGGACCGGCAUCGGUUCUGGUUGAAAACUCCGGUGGUUAUGGAUGGGCAUGCGUUGUAUUAGCUGGUUGGUGAGGUAACGGCUCACCAAGGCAACGAUACAUAGGGGGACUGAGAGGUUAACCCCCCACAUUGGUACUGAGACACGGACCAAACUCCUACGGGAGGCAGCAGUGAGGAAUAUUGGUCAAUGGACGCAAGUCUGAACCAGCCAUGCCGCGUGCAGGAAGACGGCUCUAUGAGUUGUAAACUGCUUUUGUACGAGGGUAAACGCUCUUACGUGUAAGAGCCUGAAAGUAUCGUACGAAUAAGGAUCGGCUAACUCCGUGCCAGCAGCCGCGGUAAUACGGAGGAUCCAAGCGUUAUCCGGAUUUAUUGGGUUUAAAGGGUGCGUAGGCGGUUUGAUAAGUUAGAGGUGAAAUACCGGUGCUUAACACCGGAACUGCCUCUAAUACUGUUGAACUAGAGAGUAGUUGCGGUAGGCGGAAUGUAUGGUGUAGCGGUGAAAUGCUUAGAGAUCAUACAGAACACCGAUUGCGAAGGCAGCUUACCAAACUAUAUCUGACGUUGAGGCACGAAAGCGUGGGGAGCAAACAGGAUUAGAUACCCUGGUAGUCCACGCAGUAAACGAUGAUAACUCGCUGUCGGCGAUACACAGUCGGCGGCUAAGCGAAAGCGAUAAGUUAUCCACCUGGGGAGUACGUUCGCAAGAAUGAAACUCAAAGGAAUUGACGGGGGCCCGCACAAGCGGAGGAACAUGUGGUUUAAUUCGAUGAUACGCGAGGAACCUUACCCGGGCUCAAACGCACUACGAAUGAUGCUGAAAGGUGUCAGCCAGCAAUGGCGUAGUGCGAGGUGCUGCAUGGUUGUCGUCAGCUCGUGUCGUGAGAUGUUGGGUUAAGUCCCGCAACGAGCGCAACCCUUAUCCUCAGUAGCCAGCAGGUAAAGCUGGGCACUCUGUGGAGACUGCCAGGGAUAACCUGGAGGAAGGUGGGGAUGACGUCAAAUCAUCAUGCCCCUUAUGACCUGGGCUACACACGUGCUACAAUGGACAGAGCAGAGGGAAGCGAAGCCGCGAGGUGGAGCGAAACCCAUAAAACUGUUCUCAGUUCGGACUGCAGUCUGCAACUCGACUGCACGAAGAUGGAAUCGCUAGUAAUCGCGAAUCAGCAUGUCGCGGUGAAUACGUUCUCGGGCCUUGUACACACCGCCCGUCACACCAUGAGAGUUGGGAAUACCCGAAGCCUGUGAGCUAACUGAAAAGAGGCAGCAGUCGAAGGUAGAAUCAAUGAUUGGGGUG